rnacentral:rRNA from 1 species
AACGAACGCUGGCGGCAUGCCUAACACAUGCAAGUCGAACGAGACCUUCGGGUCUAGUGGCGCACGGGUGCGUAACGCGUGGGAAUCUGCCCUUGGGUUCGGAAUAACAGUUAGAAAUGACUGCUAAUACCGGAUAAUGUCUUCGGACCAAAGAUUUAUCGCCCAGGGAUGAGCCCGCGUAGGAUUAGCUAGUUGGUGAGGUAAAGGCUCACCAAGGCGACGAUCCUUAGCUGGUCUGAGAGGAUGAUCAGCCACACUGGGACUGAGACACGGCCCAGACUCCUACGGGAGGCAGCAGUGGGGAAUAUUGGACAAUGGGCGAAAGCCUGAUCCAGCAAUGCCGCGUGAGUGAUGAAGGCCUUAGGGUUGUAAGCUCUUUUACCCGGGAUGAUAAUGACAGUACCGGGAGAAGUAAGCCCCGGCUAACUCCGUG